rnacentral:rRNA from 1 species
GACGAACCGAGCGAACGUUGUUCGGAAUCACUGGGCUUAAAGGGUGCGUAGGCGGGUCUUUAGGUCAGGGGUGAAAUCCUGGAGCUCAACUCCAGAACUGCCUUUGAUACUGAAGAUCUUGAGUUCGGGAGAGGUGAGUGGAACUGCGAGUGUAGAGGUGAAAUUCGUAGAUAUUCGCAAGAACACCAGUGGCGUAGGCGGCGGUCUGGGCCUGUCCUGACGCUCAGGCGCGAAAGCGUGGGGAGCGAACGGA